GUAUUGAUUGUCAUGCCGGACGAGCUCAGAACUCCGGAUAUUUUGACGACCUUAGCUCUCUUAACGGAGAUUUGGCACACUACUACUGGCCGGGUCAUCUCGUUUUCUCACUUCUUCCCAAAGUACCUCACCAGAGAAAGGGAAUACUUUUCGAUCGAAAUCUUCCAGAGGUGAUAGGAUCAGAUUUUCUGGAGGAGCAUCCAUGGGUCCAGUGGAAAUUCCGGAGCUCGCCAUGUGUUUGAGCAAGCUGGGACGCUGCAGUGUAUGGAAUCAGGACUGAUACGUUAGCAACAGUUGCUUCGGUUUUUCAUCCUUUUUUUUUUUCUCAGUGAAAGGAGCACUGACAUCGAUGCAGGGAGACAGACAGAGAUACUCCGAGAAAAGAAUAUAACAUGAAAUGUGGUGUCUUCGGAGAACUUCGAAGGCGAAUUUAUGGCUGCCACUGUGCAUGUAUAUGACAGCGAAGGUACUUUUCUUCGGAGGCCCAUGCCUUGCCACUUGCCGCUAGUAAUCGGACUACUAUCGCUUUAACGAGAGGAAUCCAGACAGCGUUGUGCUCGCACCGUGGGCCGCAGACUUGCACGAUUCCCAACGGAGAUGGAAAUUCCGAGAGCCAUAACUUCCGAGCUCCAACAGCGGGCACUCCCAAUCAUGGAGGAGAUCUUUAUAAACUAUCUUCUGGGAGACUAAACUACUGCGAGGACAGCAAAACAAAGGCGAGGCCGGUGACUGUGCUCGUGUCUUAAACGCGCUUGGAUGGAGGAGAGAAGAAAAAGAGAAGGAAAAUCCAGUUGAUCGACCGCUUGGACGCAUCCUCGGAAGCAUUUGCUCGUUUUGAGUUCCCGAGGGGAUCAUCUGGCUGGUUGCAACUUGGAGGUGAGGCUUUUAAAUCGUUUUCUAGCAGGCGUACAGCGGAAAGGAUGAUCUCACCAAAGCUCAUCAUCCUGAGCCCAGCUGCUCGCCACGGAUCAAUCAAUCAAUCAAUCAAUCAAUCAUUCAGUCGGUCAAUUCACUCGCUCGAACCAAUCCGUCGAUCGAUCGCCCAAGAGCUGCUGCUUGCAAACUCUGGAAAGUCGGAGAGGGAUGAGCUGAUCUUCCGUUCCGUUAAAGCUGGAGAUCCAAUAAUUGGUCAAAGAGUUAACUUAUGGAUCGUCCUUCUCUCAUCGCAGGGAAGAUAGAAAGAAAUAAAGUCUCCUUUGCGAGGCAAGACAUUGAUAUGGA